CUUGUACUCCCUUCGUCCAAAAAUACUUGUCAUUGAAAUGGAUGUAUCUAGAUGUAUUUUAGUUCUAGACACAUCCAUUUUGAUGACAAGUAAUUCCGGACGUAGGGAGUACUUG
rnacentral:pre_miRNA from 1 species